GAUGAACGCUGGCGGCGUGCCUAAUACAUGCAAGUCGAGCGAACAGAUGAGGAGCUUGCUCCUCUGACGUUAGCGGCGGACGGGUGAGUAACACGUGGAUAACCUACCUAUAAGACUGGGAUAACUUCGGGAAACCGGAGCUAAUACCGGAUAAUAUAUUGAACCGCAUGGUUCAAUAGUGAAAGACGGUUUUGCUGUCACUUAUAGAUGGAUCCGCGCCGCAUUAGCUAGUUGGUAAGGUAACGGCUUACCAAGGCAACGAUGCGUAGCCGACCAGAGAGGGUGAUCGGCCACACUGGAACUGAGACACGGUCCAGACUCCUACGGGAGGCAGCAGUAGGGAAUCUUCCGCAAUGGGCGAAAGCCUGACGGAGCAACGCCGCGUGAGUGAUGAAGGUCUUCGGAUCGUAAAACUCUGUUAUUAGGGAAGAACAAAUGUGUAAGUAACUAUGCACGUCUUGACGGUACCUAAUCAGAAAGCCACGGCUAACUACGU
rnacentral:rRNA from 1 species